AUGGCGACGAUGACGACCACCACGACCACGAAGACGGCGCUGCGCCACCGCGGGUGCUGCGGGCACGCGCCGGCGCCGGAGGACGACGGCGACCUGGUGGCGCUGUCGAGCGCGGCCGGGGAGGAGCUCGGGAAGGAGGCCGCCAGGUGGGCCGGCGGGCUGCCGCGGCUGAAGCGGUUCGAGGAGCUGCCGGACUACCUGCGCGACAACGAGUUUAUCCGCGGCGGCUACCGCUGCGAAUGGUCCGUCCGCGACGCGCUCCGCAGCGUCUUCGCCUGGCACAACGAGACGCUCAACGUCUGGACCCAUCUGGGGGGCUUCUUCCUGUUCCUGGGCCUCGCCGUCGCCGGCCAGACGGAGUGGCGGCCGACCGGAGCAGCCGCCGCGCCGGGGUUCAUGACGAUGGUGAUGACGUCCGCCAACGCGUCCUCGUUGGCGACCAACAACAGUUCGAGCAUGGCAAUCCAGAGCGCGCUGGCGUCGGGCAUGGGCGGCGCGGGGCACGCGGUGGCGCGGUGGCCGCGGACGGUGUUCGUGUUCGGGGCCAUGACGUGCCUGUCGGUGAGCGCGGCGGCGCACCUGCUGGCGAGCCACUCGCGCCGCUUCAACCGGCUCUUCUGGCAGCUCGACUACGCCGGCAUCGCCGUCAUGAUCGUCGCCUCCUUCUUCCCGCCGGUCUACUACACCUUCCUCGGCAGCCCCGCGGCGCAAUUCAUCUACCUCUCCGCCAUCACGCUGCUCGGCGUGCUCGUCGUGGCGGCGCUCCUGGUGCCCGCCCGCUCGUCGCCGCGGCUCAGGCACCUUCGCGCGGGCCUCUUCGUGUCCAUGGGGCUCUCGGGCGUCGUGCCGGCGCUGCACGCGCUCUGGCUCAACUGGGGCCACCCGGAGUGCUACCUGGCGCUGUCGCUCGAGCUGGCCAUGGGGCUCGUGUACGCCACGGGCGCCGGCUUCUACGUCGCGCGCGUGCCGGAGCGGUGGCGCCCGGGCAUGUUCGACUGCGUGGGGCACAGCCACCAGAUCUUCCACGUGUUGGUGCUCGUCGGCGCGGUCACGCACUACGCUGCCACCGCCAUCCUCAUCGGCUGGCGCGACGCCCUGGCCGCGGCCGCGUCGGCGCUCUUGUGA
rnacentral:rRNA from 1 species